UAGGUGGCAAGCGUUAUCCGGAUUUACUGGGCGUAAAGGGUGUGUAGGCGGGACUGCAAGUCAGAUGUGAAAAUUACGGGCUCAACCCGUAACCUGCAUUUGAAACUGUAGUUCUUGAGAGCCGGAGGGGUAAAUGGAAUUCCCAGUGUAGCGGUGAAAUGCGUAGAUAUUGGGAGGAACACCAGUGGCGAAGGCGAUUUACUGGACGGCAACUGACGCUGAGACACGAAAGUGUGGGGAGCAAA
rnacentral:rRNA from 1 species